UGAAUUCUGGCUUGUCACAUUGAAGAUUUAAUAGAGGGGCUUAGCAGAAACCGUUAAGUCUACUGUAAUUUUUAAGAUAUUCUACUUCUGACUAGAAUGCACUGUUUCUUAUAAUUACAUCCCCUUCUUGUUUGUCAUGGCUGAUCUCCCGUUAAGGACAUAAAUUCUCCUAGAAUUAGUCUUUUUGGCCAAAAUAAAUUGUUAUUCAUAUUUGGCUGUCAGAAAAAGACCAAGAAGUAUUUGAACCAUUCUGAACCUUUAUUCUACAAGAGUUCAAUCUGCAGUGGCAGCACACUGUGCAACAAAGUUGUCCACAAUUUACACGUGACUUUUAGUAUUUAAAUAGUUGGAAUAAUUCAAAUGUAAUGAUAACAAUACCUCCCCCCUCCCACUCUCUCCAUAUUGUAUUUCAACUAGAACCAUAAACAAGAAUUUCCUGCGGGAAUUAACGGACCGAGAAGGAGACAAAGAGGAGAAAAGUGCAGAAUGAGAACUGCGCUCAUAACAUACAGGAAGACUCAAAGCUUUUCAAGAUGCUAAAAAUUCAACACAACGCUUGAGAGUUAAGGUCCUGAAACUGGUGUUUAAAAGUAGUUUGCAGUCUUGUUUCCACUAAACAACUGCUACAAAAUGGAUGAAAUAAAAUAAGCUACAUCCACAUGCUUUCAGGGAGUAGGCAAUGAUGUUUGGAGCAUGCUGGCAGCUGCUGUGAGUUACCUCUGAGGUGCACAGCUCUCUCCACCCAGUGAGAGGAAGCCCAGAUUGGACCAGCAAAGUGGUGUGAACCUUCCUGUUUGUGUCAAACUGUACUGUCAGUGCAUAUAUUGACUUCACCGAAGUAGUUUGGGCUUUCCACCACUGAUGAGACCUUGGUGUCCUAUGAGUUUUUUGCAAUUGAAUUUCCAGAUGUAUUUCAGCUCUGGUAAUGAUUGUACAGCGUCGUGUCCAUGAACUUCCAGUGUUCGCAUUAAAAUCUGACAGAACAUCAGAGUGCCAGAAGCUUCUCAUGUUGUGGCUCUGGAGGUAAGAGCAAAAGACACUGUGCUUUAUUCUGUGUUUGGCAACGAUGUCCAAGCCCUUUGCAAAGUUCUUGUGACAUAAAAGAGAGCUUAAGGAAAUGGGUGGGAAUUUUGAACAUGAACAAAUACAAUGGAAAGAUGUUAAGGAAUGUAGACUGAAUGCUAUGUCUUACUUAUUUCUGUGAUGUCUUGUCCACACAUUCUAGAAGUUAGAAAACAGACUGAAGAAUUCAGUCCAAUUCAGUUUCUAGUCAAGCAGCUUAUACCAUACUAGGAAUUCAGUUUUUCUUCUUCAGCAUAUCUUAUGAAUUUGUGAAAAUCAAGACCUGAGUGCUGUUUUAGAAUUUAGAAAGGUUCAUUGGGUUACAUAGCAGUUCUGGCAAUCGAUAGUAAAUGUGUCAAUGUGAGAACACAACAGAGUCUCCAUCUUUAGGACCAGGUCAGGCUGAAUCUGAAUAUCUUUCUGAGGUAUACAUUUUUAGUAGAAUUCAUUUACCUGAAGACAUGUGCAGGUGAAAUAAAGGUAGGGGAGGAAUCCUCUUUCGACAUUCCUAAAAUGAACAAUGAGAUUUUCUUUAAUCCCAAAUUAGCCAUUACUUGUUUAAUGCAUCCUGAUAAUUCAGCCAUGUUUUUUUUUUCUCAAUCUUGGAAAUACCUAGCCAUGUCUGGGGUCCCUUCCAACCCAAGCCAUUCUAUGAUUCUAUGCAUCUGGGCUUUCACACUUGAAUAUAGGGUUUGUUCUAUAGAAGGAACAUUUUAAAAUGUUCUACUGGUGAGUAUUAGUUGUUAUGAGCUGGAACUCUUUCAGCCACCUAGCAUUUAAAAGUUUAAUCUCCCAGAAAUUAAAGUUUUCAUUAAUAAGCAAUUAACACUUAAAAUUUUAAUUGAUAAGCCCUGUACUGCAUUCUGGAAAUGCUGAGUUAGUGAUAGCGAAGCCAGGCAUGGUUCUGAGGAAUGGCAAGCCUGGAAAAGUGAUGAGGAGAAAAGAACUUCUGAGCCCUACAAACCUUGAUCAUAGCCCAUACAAUGACGGAACAAAGUUUGCUCAGUAGCUGAAUACACCAGAGAUAGAGUCUGUAUCAAACUAGAGAAAACAGUGGAUUAAUUAGGAAGGAUUAGUGGCUUAGGAGUUGAGUUUAAGUUAGAGCUAGAGGUCUAGAUUCAAGGAUCAAGGUGCAAGGCCCAGUUAGUCCUAGCUCCAUCUGGACUGGGUCACUGACAUCAAGGCACACCACGAUAUUUACCUGCCAUAUAACAUAAAUAUAGGCAGAAAACGGUGUGGAGGCAGGAAAUAAGGACUAGCUGGUGUUAAGCUUUGCAACAACGUUUCUUCAAUGGUGAUUUGAGAGUUGGGAAGCCUGAACCAGCAAGAUAACAGAUCUGAAAUAAUUAAACAUUUAACAAUAAGAAAAAAGACAAAGAAACAGUUGAAUACAUUUAACAGCAAACAUCUCUGAAUAUUAAACCAAAAUUUAUAAGCCCUAGAUAUUGUAAAAUAAUCUUUUAUAUGUUCCUAAAUCCAACU
ensembl:lncRNA